rnacentral:rRNA from 1 species
GCAAGUCGAGCGAGAACGGAGACUUCGGUCACUUAUUAGAGCGGCGCACGGGUGAGUAACACGUGAGUAACCUGCCCUUCAGCCUGGGAUAACGUCUCGAAAGAGGCGCUAAUACCGGAUACGUCUGCUUCCUUAGUGGAAGAGGGGAAAGAUUAUCACUGAAGGAUGGGCUCGCGGUCCAUUAGGUAGUUGGUGGGGUAAAGGCCUACCAAGCCGAAGAUGGAUAGCUGGUCUGAGAGGAUGAUC